ensembl:misc_RNA Metazoa_SRP Metazoan signal recognition particle RNA
GCCGGGCGUGGUGGCUCACGCCUGUAAUCCCAGCACUUUGGGAGGCCGAGGUGGGAGGAUUGCUUGAGCCCGGGAGUUCAAGACUAGCCUGGGCAACGUAGCAAGACCUCAUCUUAA